rnacentral:misc_RNA from 1 species
CGAAGGUGUCCAGGAAGCUGC